rnacentral:rRNA from 2 species
CCUGACUGCUAUCGGAUUGAUACUAAGCCAUGCGAGUCUUUGCAGUAAUGCAAGGCAUACGGCUCAGUAACACGUAGUCAACUUACCCUAUGGACGAGGAUAAUCUCGGGAAACUGAGCAUAAUACUCGAUAGAUCAUAAUGCCUGGAAUGGUUUAUGGUUGAAAUGAUUCGUCGCCAUAGGAUGGGACUGCGGCCUAUCAGCUUGUUGGUGAGGUAAUGGCCCACCAAGGCGAUUACAGGUACGGGCUCUGAGAGGAGAAGCCCGGAGAUGGGUACUGAGACAAGGACCCAGGCCCUAUGGGGCGCAGCAGGCGAGAAAACUUUGCAAUGUGCGAAAGCACGACAAGGUUAAUCCGAGUGAUUUCUGCUAAAGAAAUCUUUUGCAAGUCAUAAAACCACUAGUGAAUAAGGGGUGGGCAAGUUCUGGUGUCAGCCGCCGCGGUAAAACCAGCACCUCAAGUGGUCAGGAGGAUAUUGGGCCUAAAGCAUCCGUAGCCGGCUCUGUAAGUUUUCGGUUAAAUCCAUGUGCUCAACGCAUGGGCUGCCGAAAAUACUGCAUAGCUAGGGAGUGGGAGAGGUAGACGGUACUCGGUAGGAAGGGGUAAAAUCCUUUGAUCUAUCGAUGACCACCUGUGGCGAAGGCGGUCUACCAGAACACGUUCGACGGUGAGGGAUGAAAGCUGGGGGAGCAAACCGGAUUAGAUACCCGGGUAGUCCCAGCUGUAAACGAUGCAGACUCGAUGAUGCAUUGGCAUAUAGCCAGUGCAGUGUCGCAGGGAAGCCGUUAAGUCUGUCGCCUGGGAAGUACGUACGCAAGUAUGAAACUUAAAGGAAUUGGCGGGGGAGCACCACAAGGGGUGAAGCCUGCGGUUCA